AAUGGGAGAGCAGAGUGCCUUGCGCGUCACGCAGGCCGGCGCUGCGGUGAACUCUGUGGUUAGCGCGGAGACCGCGGAGCACAAGCGCGCGGGCGGGCACGACGAGCAGCGCUCGGCAGGGGCGGCCCCUGGGGUCAGCGCCACUUUCCCCGUUCCUCGGGGAUUUUUCCCAAACGCGUGCCCAGCGCUAGGCUGCGUCCUUGUCCUUCACAAGUGUCCUCAGGUCCUCCAGACUCCCCCGGUUAGGGGCCGCCAUCAGCACUGAGCGCUUCAUUCCCACCAUAAGUGAUGCUCCGUAUGGAUAAAUCUGCAUCCUGUCCGUGCGGGCCAUUCCGUCUCAGCGGGGGCUUUGCUGCUGAACUCCCAGCUCCAGCCUUGUCACCAGCUCUGCUUCGUCCACUAAGCGGCUUGAACCAGCCCCAGGUCACCUUCGCAUUCCUCUUCCCUAAAGCAACAAGAGAGAAGUCACUGCGAUGAAAAUAACCCACAAUUAGAGCAUUGAUUCAAGCAGUGCUCCUGAGAUCAAGGACUCCAUUAUUAAGUGGGUAUUUGGGACAACGACUAAAGAAAAGAUCACGUCUUCUUUUAACAUUGCA